rnacentral:rRNA from 1 species
CCUACGGGCGGCAGCAGUGGGGAAUAUUGCACAAUGGGGGAAACCCUGAUGCAGCGACGCCGCGUGAGUGAAGAAGUAUUUCGGUAUGUAAAGCUCUAUCAGCAGGGAAGAAAAUGACGGUACCUGACUAAGAAGCCCCGGCUAACUACGUGCCAGCAGCCGCGGUAAUACGUAGGGGGCAAGCGUUAUCCGGAUUUACUGGGUGUAAAGGGAGCGUAGACGGCCAGACAAGUCAGAAGUGAAAGCCCAGGGCUCAACCCUGGGACUGCUUUGGAAACUGGCAUGCUGGAGUGCCGGAGGGGCAAGCGGAAUUCCUAGUGUAGCGGUGAAAUGCGUAGAUAUUAGGAGGAACACCGGUGGCGAAGGCGGCUUGCUGGACGGUAACUGACGUUGAGGCUCGAAAGCGUGGGGAGCAAACAGGAUUAGAUACCCCAGUAGUC